GAAGACGAUCGUCCUCCGGUGCCUGUACUUUUGCCAUCGCGAUAUUCCAUUAGCAACUACUGCGAAUCUGUCGCUCAAGCUUCUCCUCCACUUUUCCAUCAAUUCCUCUCAGCCAUCCCCUCCUCCAUGUUAUCUCUCCACGUUAUGAACAAUCGGCGAUGCCGCCUUCUCCAUCCAGAUGAUGCCCCUCUGCAUGUUAUCUUGCCCCAGUUCCUGAGGGGAGCAGUACUAUUAGUAGAUGGAGAUGACAUGAAGGCUUGGUGUACGUGCAGCAAGGACGGGAUUGGCCUAAUGCCACCAACGUAAUAAAGGCAAGUAAUUUUUUCCAUCCAGACGGUGCCACUCCCACGUUCUUCAUGCCUCAGUUCAUGCCAGGAGCAGCAUGGUUCAGAAGAUGGAGAAGAGAUGAAGGCUCGGUGUACCUACAGCAAGUAGCAGAUGGGCCUAAUGCCUCCAAAGUAAUAACUAUACUUAUUCUGUACUUGAUUUCUAUGCGGGUGAGAGAAAAAAUUAGGUUGGAACAUAUUCUGGUUUGAACACCAUGUUUUUUUCGCACAUAGAUAAGUAAUUUUUGAGGUAAAUACUACCAUGUCUGCUUACAAUCGAUAGUUGCUCAUAUUAUAGUCAAAAGCAGAGAAGCACAAUGGUGGAUUGUCGCUUGAAAAGUUGUGCAUCUGUCGGCAAGGCCUCAAGGGCGCAGAGAAAGCCGCCUGACCUAUAUGUGUUCAUGAGUUCUCGGACGCCAUCGACAGCGUGUGGGCAUGCACACUGGCCUCCAGGUUGCUGCAAACGCCACGUACGCCAGCUCAACGAGUUCGAUCUCUGACUUCCGGUGGCCACCGGGAGUGGCCGGCGUGUUCACAAACCAUGCCAGGAUGUGAAGUACCUUCAUUUGUACGUGGAUCAGUUCGGCAUGCUGGAGCGCAUAAAAUUACGUUCUGUUGCAAAGUAGUACACUAGCAUCGGUAAGAACGAUGUUUUUUAACUUAACCGAGGAGGAGGUUGCUGUAGGGCGGUGACGACUCGGCGUUCCAGACAGGACACAUCGAGUGGCAGAUCCCUUGAAAACCCUCACUGUUUUUCUUGUGAUGGAAUUGACAACCACAUGCAUUGCAACCUGAUAGGCUGACAUAAACAGCGACCCACAUGCUGCAUAAUUAGUUGAGGCAAGGACGAGACACAAUACUGGAAGGAAAAAUAUUGCAUGGCAUGAAAUGGAUGGCCCCAGGACGGCUAUCAUGGAAGAAAUAUAUGGUCGUACUGCCCACUAGAGAAGUCAAUAUUAUAUCGUCAACAUUUCUGCUCUUAACUUGAUCCAUAAAAUGUAGCAGCUCGAGCUUAUUUCAGCCAAUGGUUGUCUAGGAACUUAGAUACACGCAAGAAAGAGAGUUAGCUUUCACAGAUAAUGCAUAAUGGAAGUUCUCGCUACACUAAAUGUACAAUUGCAGAAUCUCCCCUACUAAACUCAAGAUGUGUAAAAAUAAUUUGUAUCGUACCGUGAUUACUUAUUUCUUUUGAGUUAAAUGAGUGGCUAUGGAUGACACUCGAUAAUA